UGGAGGUGACUAGAGGAGACAUAUGGUCUGGAGGUGACUAGAGGAGACAUAUGGUCUGGAGGUGACUAGAGGAGCCAUAUGGUCUGGAGGUGACUAGUGGAGACAUGUGGUCUGGAGGUGACUAGAGGAGACAUGUUGUCUGGAGGUGACUAGAGGAGUCAAAUGGUCUGGAGGUGACUAGAGGAGACAUAUGGUCUGGAGGUGACUAGAGGAGACAUAUGGUCUGGAGGUGACUAGAGGAGACAUAUGGUCUGGAGGUGACUAGAGGAGACAUAUGG